UUCAACUGGACAUACCUCAAAGCGGGUUCGGGAUAUCUUUGUCGAAACGCAGGGGAAUUCAAACAAUGCUGACCGCAUCCAAUAAUGUCGCUGUGAUGGCAACUUCACAAUGCCGCUGUAAAUCAGGGUUCCCACAAAAAUGCGUAGCUCUUCCGGCGACAAGGUAAAGUUGGCGUUCUUCUGGGCAGCGUAGCGUUCAGACUCUCUAAUGAUCCAUUCCGAAACUUCUCCAUCAAAAUACAUGUUGAACAGCUCCAGAGGUGUAGCUGAAAUAAGCUCGGGAUGUGCAUUCGCUAGUUUGACGGGAACGUUGUUGGGAUCAUUGUACAUUGGCAGAAAGUCCGUCUCCCCGUUCGCCCAUGGUACUUCGGGCCGGCCACGGCCCGCACCUGUUAAAUCCCAUCUGAAAUUUCGCCAAACUGUCGUGAAAAUUUACUGGUGACGUACCUUUUCGCUUCUUAGACGGCUGUUCGGUGGCACAUGGCUGGUCGUCGGUAUCGCUGUCGUAGCAGACUUCAAGCUCUCCCGAAACAUCGGUUGGAAGCUGCGGACUCAGGUCGUUGUCAUCGAUGUCCUCUUCGUCGGAGCAACUAGCAACAUCCGGUGGCAGGCAAACAAUGUCAACUUCGCCAUGUGGUAUAGUUGCCAAAUCUUCCAAGAUGUCUUGGGCUUCACGCAACGUUCUUGCUCGUGUUUGAGGCAUUUUGAAAUAUUUCUUCCAAACGUUUUACAAAAAUGUUCGUGCGGAAUGAAAAAUGAAUACCGCGCAAAUAAGUAGGCGAUUUAGCCAAAAAACAAAGAAACGAUGCGCGCCAGCAAAAAUUUUUAGCGGUGGUAUCGCAUAAGGGACUAUGAGACAAUGAAAUUACCAGUGGAAAGGUUUGCGCUCCCAGCCGUCCACCACUGAUCUGGUGCUCUAAAAGCUUUAUGAUAUUAUUGCCAUCUCACUCGCAAAUAUCAAUUUCUGUCGUAAUGGAGCCUGUCAGUGAAUUAUUUGUUAAAAAUGGAUUGGUUUUGCCAAAAUGGCUUGAGUCAGCUGUUCAGAAACAGCUGGACCUUGGUCACGGUGGGAAGAAGGCCCGCAGCGAGAUAUAUCGUGCGAUUUACUGGAAGCUCAAGGUGUGGAGAAGCUGCUGUUUUUUUAUCAAUAUUUUAUUACGAUUUGGAUAUCUUACAAAUCCGUAGUCCAAUUUUAUAAUUUUUCUACGAAUGCAGAAUGCCAACAAAUUGGGAUACAUUCAGACUGUUGUAUAUCCGAUUGAAUUGGUGGUCGCCAUUGGGAAGGUAUUCCCCGACAACAACGAGCACAAAGACUACGGGGAAGCCAAUAUCUCGUUGGAGGAUAUCGCCAAAGUUCGAUAGCUAAUUAACUUAGCGCUUCUCAUUUUUUCCCUGUUUGUCUGAGAGCUCAAUGCCCAUCCAUGUCAAACUCGACACGAAAAGUUUCGAUGACCACCGAAGGCCACUGGCUAUUGCUUUUUCCUUUACUUCCAUUUUUUUAAGUUUAACUCUAUAGGAAUUACGCGUGACAUUUUUUACGGAAUAAUCUGAAGACUCUGAAAGUGUGUAGACCAUGAAGACCUCCACGGACUCCGUCAGCUCUGAUUUGACCAACUUUAGGCUCUCUCUGUGUGUCACUGCGCUGUUGUCUGGGAUUGUGGUAUUUUUUUAACUGUCAUGUAACAUCUGCUUUAUGUAAUAAAACCAAUGAAAGUGACU